rnacentral:misc_RNA from 1 species
GAUGAAGAACGUAGCGAAAUGCGAUAAGUAAUGUGAAUUGCAGAAUUCAGUGAAUCAUCGAAUCUUUGAACGCACAUUGCGCCCCCUGGUAUUCCGGGGGGCAUGCCUGUUCGAGCGUCAUUUCACCACUCAAGCCUCGCUUGGUAUUGGGCAACGCGGUCCGCCGCGUGCCUCAAAUCGACCGGCUGGGUCUUCUGUCCCCUAAGCGUUGUGGAAACUAUUCGCUAAAGGGUGUUCGGGAGGCUACGCCGUAAAACAACCCCAUUUCUAAGGUUGACCUCGGAUCAGGUAGGGAUACCCGCUGAACUUAAGCAUCUCAAUAAGCGGAGGA